rnacentral:ncRNA from 1 species
UAGAAGUUUGAUUCUGACUCUUGUCUUGUUAUAAGCUGGCAUUAUAUAUGAUCAAAAGGAGCCUUAAAGGGAAAAUGGUAGUAAUGAGUAUUAAUUAUUAAAAACUAUAGAAUUAGCUAAGCUUUCAAGGUCGGCAAAAAUCGUGCCAGCCGCCGCGGUUACACGGAGGACCUAAAUAAGACAGAUAGGCGGAACGUAGCAUAAUGGAAAUUUUUAGGCUAGUUUAUAGAAACAACUUAAAGUGAAAUUUUCACGUGAAUUGAUGAAAAGGGAAAACAAUUGAUUUAAGUCUACUUAGAUGAGGAUAUAAACUAGGAUUAGAUACCCUACUAUUCUUAUAAGACAUUAGCCUGGGUAGUAAAAGACGAUCUUCAAACCCAAAGAAUUUGACGGCACUCUACCUCCCCAGAGGAACCUGCCCCGUAAUCGAUAAUCCACGCUUUACCUUACUGCCUCUUGCUAAGCUUGUAUACCGCCGUUGCCAGAUAAUUUUUAAAAAAGUAUUAUCCAAGUUAAGAUCUUUCAGGACUUCAGGUCAAGGUGCAGCUCAUGAGGAAGAGGAGGUGGGUUACAAUAGUUUUAACUAAAACGGAAAGGAAAUGAAAAAUAUAUGGAAGGUGGAUUUGGUAGUAAGCAUUAGUUAGAAUAGCAUGCUGAAAAGAGCUCUAGAGUGUGUACACAUCGCCCGUCGCUCUCCCUAAUAAAGGGAGAUAAGUCGUAACAUAGUAGAUGUACUGGAAAGUGCAUCUAGAAAGC